GUUGGUGGGGUGAUGGCCUACCAAGGCGACGACGGGUAGCCGGCCUGAGAGGGCGACCGGCCACACUGGGACUGAGACACGGCCCAGACUCCUACGGGAGGCAGCAGUGGGGAAUCUUGCACAAUGGGCGAAAGCCUGAUGCAGCGACGCCGCGUGAGGGAUGACGGCCUUCGGGUUGUAAACCUCUUUCGGCCCCGACGAAGCGAGAGUGACGGUAGGGGUAGAAGAAGCACCGGCUAACUACGUGCCAGCAGCCGCGGUAAUACGUAGGGUGCGAGCGUUGUCCGGAAUUAUUGGGCGUAAAGAGCUCGUAGGCGGUUUGUUGCGUCGGCUGUGAAAACCUGCGGCUUAACUGUGGGCUUGCAGUCGAUACGGGCAGACUUGAGUUCGGCAGGGGAGACUGGAAUUCCUGGUGUAGCGGUGAAAUGCGCAGAUAUCAGGAGGAACACCGGUGGCGAAGGCGGGUCUCUGGGCCGAUACUGACGCUGAGGAGCGAAAGCGUGGGGAGCGAACAGGAUUAGAUACCCUGGUAGUCCACGCCGUAAACGUUGGGCGCUAGGUGUGGGGACCAUUCCACGGUUUCCGUGCCGCAGCUAACGCAUUAAGCGCCC
rnacentral:rRNA from 1 species